AAAAAAAAAAAAAAAAGAAAAAUUGAAUGCUCAAUUUAUUAUUAGAUAUUACUUUAACAAUCUUAUAACAAUCUGGAGUUCUUGAAAACUGUGUGGUGCUUGAAUGCUUCUAAGUGUGUGCAAAAGUCUGACCAUGGUUACACACCUUCAGCCACAGUGCAAAGUAGAUUGAUAUCAAUGAGGGUCUAUUAUGGAAGGGAUAAAAAUUUUGCAUUUUGCACCUUGCAUGAUGCAAGAAAAGCCUAACAGGGGUUUGGUAUUUGGGAGUGAUGUUUGAAGCAAUCCAACUGCUAGUUCAUGUGGAGCUAUUGGACAGCCAAAAACUG
rnacentral:misc_RNA from 1 species